CACCUACGGGGAGCAGCAGUGAGGAAUAUUGGUCAAUGGGCGAGAGCCUGAACCAGCCAAGUCGCGUGAGGGAAGACUGCCCUAUGGGUUGUAAACCUCUUUUGUCAGGGAGCAACGCCGGCUACGUGUAGCCGGACUGAGAGUACCUGAAGAAAAAGCAUCGGCUAACUCCGUGCCAGCAGCCGCGGUAAUACGGAGGAUGCGAGCGUUAUCCGGAUUUAUUGGGUUUACAGGGUGCGUAGGCGGACUGCCAAGUCAGCGGUAAAAUCGCGGGGCUCAACAUCGCGCCGCCGU
rnacentral:rRNA from 1 species